rnacentral:rRNA from 1 species
CCUACGGGAGGCAGCAGUGGGGAAUAUUGGGCAAUGGGCGCAAGCCUGUACCAGCAAAGCCGCGUGAAGGAAGAUGGCCUUAGGGUUGGAAACUCCUUUUGUCAGGGAAGAGUAGAAGACGAUACCUGACGAAUAAGCCACGGCUAACGACGUGCCAGCAGCCGCGGUCAUUGGUAGGUGGCAAGCGUUGUCCGGAUUGACUGGGUGUAAAGGGCGUGUGGCCGGGUUGACAAGUCAGAUGUGAAAUCCUGCGGCUUAACCGCAGAACUGCAUUUGAAACUGUUGAUAUUGAGUACUGGGGAGGCAGAUGGAAUGCCUAGUGUAGCGGUGAAAUGCGUAGAUAUUAGGAUGAACACCAGUGGCGAAGGCGGUCUGCUGGACAGCAACUGACGGUGAGGCGCGAAAGCGUGGGUAGCAAACAGGAUUAGAUACCCUUGUAGUC